AUCCAGUUGAUGAGUCCCAAACAGGACGAAAUGUGAGUCCCGGAU
rnacentral:hammerhead_ribozyme from 1 species